rnacentral:misc_RNA from 1 species
UUUCCGUAGGUGAACCUGCGGAAGGAUCAUUACUGAGUGAGGGCCCUCUGGGUCCAACCUCCCACCCGUGUUUAUUAUACCUUGUUGCUUCGGUGAGCCCGCCUCACGGCCGCCGGGGGGCAUCUGCCCCCGGGCCCGCGCCCACCGAAGACACCUAGAACUCUGUAUGAAGAUUGCAGUCUGAGCAAAAACUAAAUAAGUUAAAACUUUCAACAACGGAUCUCUUGGUUCCGACAUCGAUGAAGAACGCAGC